rnacentral:rRNA from 1 species
UACGUAGGGUGCGAGCGUUGUCCGGAAUUACUGGGCGUAAAGAGCUCGUAGGUGGUUUGUCGCGUUGUCCGUGAAAUUCCCUGGCUUAACUGGGGGCGUGCGGGCGAUACGGGCAGACUGGAGUACUGCAGGGGAGACUGGAAUUACUGGUGUAGCAGUGAAAUGCGUAGAUAUCAGUAGGAACACCAAUGGCGAAGGCAGCUUGCUGGCAUGUAUCUGACGCUAAGGCACGAAAGCGUGGGGAGCGAACAGG